rnacentral:tRNA from 1 species
GGACCGGUGGUGUAGUGGUAACACAUUGCGCCCGGAAGUGAAGAGAGGUGGUUCGAUUCCCUCCCGGUCCA